rnacentral:rRNA from 1 species
CAGUCGCCGCGGUAAUACGGAGGGUGCAAGCGUUGUUCGGAAUUAUUGGGCGUAAAGGGUGCGUAGGCGGCUUGACAAGUCUUGUGUGAAAUCUAUGGGCUCAACCCAUAGUCUGCACGGGAAACUGUCGGGCUUGAGAAUGGGAGAGGUGAGUGGAAUUUCCGGUGUAGCGGUGAAAUGCGUAGAUAUCGGAAGGAACACCUGUGGCGAAAGCGGCUCACUGGACCAUUACUGACGCUGAGGCGCGAAAGCUAGGGGAGCAAACAGGAUUAGAGACCCCGGUAGUCCCUGUCUCUUAUAA